rnacentral:lncRNA from 1 species
ACUUUUUUACUCGCUUUGGAAAACGUGGAGAUGAAGUUAUAACUCGGAAGAUUGAGAUGCCACAUGUGCUGCUGGAGACAAUUCUCUUCCUUGCAGAUUCAGCCCAGCUGUGGAUGAGUGACCUGGAGUCUGCUUGCAGGCAUUUUCUGUGGUGGACAUUUUCAGUGAGUGUAUUCUUUUUGAAGUUAUCGAGCAUUCUAGUUGUCAGAUGUCUCUCCUGAAAUGCCUAGUCAGUGUCCCAGUGCUGUAGAGAAAGCGACCCUGGAUUUUGCCUGUUGACCAAAUUUAUUGCCUUGGCUUGAUUUUACAAACCUGAGUUGU